GACGAACGCUGGCGGCGUGCUUAACACAUGCAAGUCGAACGGAAAGGCCCUGCUUUUGUGGGGUGCUCGAGUGGCGAACGGGUGAGUAACACGUGAGUAACCUGCCCUUGACUUUGGGAUAACUUCAGGAAACUGGGGCUAAUACCGGAUAGGAGCUCCUGCUGCAUGGUGGGGGUUGGAAAGUUUCGGCGGUUGGGGAUGGACUCGCGGCUUAUCAGCUUGUUGGUGGGGUAGUGGCUUACCAAGGCUUUGACGGGUAGCCGGCCUGAGAGGGUGACCGGCCACAUGGGGACUGAGAUACGGCCCAGACGGCUACGGGAGGCAGCAGUGGGGAAUAUUGCACAAUGGGCGGAAGCCUGAUGCAGCAACGCCGCGUGCGGGAUGACGGCCUUCGGGUUGUAAACCGCUUUCGACUGUGACGAAGCGUGAGUGACGGUAAUGGGUAAAGAAGCAACGGCUAACUACGUG
rnacentral:rRNA from 1 species